GACGAACGCUGGCGGCGUGCUUAACACAUGCGAGUCGAACGGAAAGGCCCUGCUUUUGUGGGGUGCUCGAGUGGCGAACGGGUGAGUAACACGUGAGUAACCUGCCCUUGACUUUGGGAUAACUUCAGGAAACUGGGGCUAAUACCGGAUAGGAGCUCCUGCUGCAUGGUGGGGGUUGGAAAGUUUCGGCGGUUGGGGAUGGACUCGCGGCUUAUCAGCUUGUUGGUGGGGUAGUGGCUUACCAAGGCGUUGACGGGUAGCCGGCCUGGGAGGGUGACCGGCCACAUUGGGACUGGGAUACGGCCCAGACUCCUACGGGAGGCAGCAGUGGGGAAUAUUGCGCAAUGGGCGGAAGCCUGAUGCAGCAACGCCGUGUGCGGGAUGACGGCCUUCGGGUUGUAAACCGCUUUCGCCUGUGACGAAGCGUGAGUGACGGUAAUGGGUAAAGAAGCACCGGCUAACUACGUG
rnacentral:rRNA from 1 species